rnacentral:rRNA from 1 species
UGAGCAAUCUGCCCUUCUCAUCGGAAUAAGCGUUGGAAACGACGUCUAAUGCCGAAUACGACCUCCUUUCGCAUGAUCGGAGGUGGAAAGCUCCGGCGGAGAAGGAUGAGCUCGCGGCCUAUCAGCUAGUUGGUGUGGGUAAUGGCCCACCAAGGCGACGACGGGUAGCCGGCCUGAGAGGGUGACCGGCCACUGGGACUGAGACACGGCCCAGACCUCCGUACGGGA